GAGCAGAUAGUGCAGUUCAGCACGCACUUGGCCUCAGUGUCUAAGGUGCUGGCGGCUAGCACCGAGAACCUCGGUGCCACCCUGAGUGCACUCA
rnacentral:tRNA from 1 species